CGCGCUCCCUCCCGGAGCGCUGGAGACAGAUAUGCAAGAUGGCAGAGGAGGGGGAAAGCCAAUAGAAAAGGGAUAUUGCACCUACUUGUGGCCAGUUUCCUUGCCCUGCCUUUGGAUCUCAUGCUGUGCCCAGUCCUGCAGCCGCUGGAAAUUUUCUAUACAUCCACGGAGAAAACAAGAAGUGGGGCUUUUAAAACCUUUUUCCAUAUUAAAGAACUAGAAGGACAGGACUCUUAAAUGAUCCAGGAGAAAGUGAGAAUCAUCCUGAACUUCAGGAAAUCUGCUGCCGCCGCUCUUACUGCUACUGAAGCUAUUUCGGCUUGUGCUUUCGGAGUUGAAAGUAGAACAAGAUUUACCAAUGAAGUGGGCACAUAGAAAUGGGGAAAUCCUAAAGGGGCCAGCUGUGUUCAAGACGGCGAAGGGCAAGAGGAUGAGGCGUCGCUGGAACACCCUCCCCUUCUCGUUUUUAAAGUCCCUGGGGUCGCGGCCGCCUCUGCGAAUGCCUGGUCUUUCCAAGAGUUUCGGGACACGAGCAAAUCCAACCUCUUCCAACUGAAAUAAUAAACACAAACUCCUCUGUGCCCUAGGGCCAAAGCAUUGUGACUAGACAAGGCAUCAUUCUUUUUGUUGUUUUUUUAGUAAAGU